GCUGGCGGCGUGCCUAACACAUGCAAGUCGAACGAGAAAGUGGAGCAAUCCAUGAGUAAAGUGGCGACCGGGUGAGUAACACGUGACUAACCUACCUCCGAAUGGGGAAUAACUCCGGGAAACCGGGGCUAAUACCGCAUAACACCGCAAGGUCAAAGCAGCAAUGCGUUUGGAGAGGGGGUCGCGGCUGAUUAGCUAGUUGGCGGGGUAACGGCCCACCAAGGCGAAGAUCGGUAUCCGGCCUGAGAGGGCGCACGGACACACUGGAACUGAAACACGGUCCAGACUCCUACGGGAGGCAGCAGUGGGGAAUUUUGCGCAAUGGGGGAAACCCUGACGCAGCAACGCCGCGUGGAGGAUGAAGCCCUUUGGGGCGUGAACUCCUUUCGACCAAGACGAUAAUGACGGUACUGGUGGAAGAAGCACCGGCUAACUCUGUGCCAGCAGCCGCGGUAAUACAGAGGGUGCAAGCGUUGUUCGGAAUUAUUGGGCGUAAAGGGCGCGUAGGCGGUGCCACAAGUCACCUGUGAAACCUCCGGGCUUAACUCG
rnacentral:rRNA from 1 species